UACGGCGGCCAUAGCGGCAGGGAAACGCCCGGACCCAUCCCGAACCCGGAAGCUAAGCCUGCCAGCGCCGAUGAUACUACCCAACACGGGUGGAAAAGUAGGACACCGCCGAACACAAUUUA
rnacentral:rRNA from 3 species